GUCAGUCCCUUUGUAAAAACAUGAUUUGGAGAGAGUGGUAUAAACACAUAAAAAACACAAGCAUUUCAAUAUUGGUUAUUUUCCUCUUUAUUUUGAUUUUAUUUUGAGGAGGCUGGAGAAUGAAAUAACGUCUUCGGAAACAGCUUAAACAAGUCAGUUCAAGACAAUCUCUGGCUCUUUCUGAAGGCAACAUUAUAAGGCUUCAAAAAUAGCACAGUGAGCCAAGAGAAACUGCAAAGACACCGCUGUGGGAUGGUGAUUUGGAUAUAAAAUUCUCUGAGCCAGGGUGUGAUAAGCUGUUGGACCAUCUUAGACAACCAUCUAGACCCUGGAGCCAUUGUAGUUUGGAUCGAAGAUCAAAAACUCUCAAGCAUUUCAACUCAUGCAGUGAACAUCUGAAGGGAU
rnacentral:lncRNA from 1 species